CCUCGGAUCAGGUAGGAAUACCCGCUGAACUUAA
rnacentral:rRNA from 11 species